ACUACAUAAUCAUUCAUUAUCUUUACAAUUAACCAUCUAAAACUACCACAAUUCUUUAAUCAAAGUACAUAUCUACAUAUAUAGAGAGAGUACACUUCAUAAUUUCGUCCCUUGUCUUCCGUAAACGUAGCACAAAAAUUUGAUACCAAGUAUUGUAAGGCAGGUCGUAGAAACAGUCUUCCUGCACAUUUAAAAAUAAUAACAAGUCAAAAAAAUGAAGUAAAUAGGUCACCAGAGGCACUUAGUGCCAAAAUCAAUACGACAAUAGAGUUGUUACGUGGUAGUAAUGUACACCGUAUUGCUCAUAAACAGAAAAAGGCAAAUAGACAAUCACAAUAUCAUUUGCUACAAAUCCAAAUAGGCAAUCACAUCUCUAUGGAUGCGUCCAUAUGCAUGAAGAUAAAUAAGAGCUUUAAUGUACGAAAUAUACCUCACAAAUUAAUACUUAAUUUAUUUUUAUAUACCUCACAAAUUAAUGUACGGAAUAUUUGAAACUAUACUAUCAGAAUCCUUCCUUUAUAAGAUGGAUCUAAUUGGUUGGUUACUCGCCACUCCUUGAGCCUACCACAUAAACCAACACGUGCGACAUUGAACUAUCAUCAUCAUGGCCUGGAGACUAGCUUUCAGAAUUCUUAUGUUGGGAUUUAGUACUUACAAAACUAAUAAAAGACACAAGUUUAACUUUCCCUGCACAUAUUAGUGUAGACAAGUGUUUUAACUUUUUAAUUACUACCAUAGUGCUUGCAAGCAAAACAGAUUGAUCACGCAACAUUCUUUAGGUUGGAAAACACACAAUCUACAUCACCCAAACUAAAAGGCAUUACAAAAUUGACAUAGUCCAACACAAACUAACUUUAAAAUCCCAUAAACUCAGGCCAAAUUCAAUUGUUCACCAAACAAUGUUGAUUAUCACACAUAUCAGAAACCUAGUACAAUAAGAAUGCAUUUAAUUUAAAAGCAUUUCACAAAAACAGAAAAUUUUGAAAGUAUAACAUUUUGAGUGAGAACUUAAUAUAUGGUGAAGGAGCAAAUGGAUAGCAAUCAAGCACAAACUUGAAGAUCUUACUAUAGAGGAUAAAUAAAUUUUCAACCAAAUUAUCAUGUUGGCGAAGGUUCACUGAAAGAGCAUUGGCCACCUGAAGUGAAGAAGCAAACUCCCGCAAAAACAAUCUCCACCUCUGGCCUGUCUAAUGAGUAAUGACUAUAACUCUAUAAUAUGUAGACCCACCCGUGUAGUGAGGUAGUACAAUGUUCAUAACACAACAGAACCAACAUUAAAUUUGGUAACAUAAUAAGAUGUCGUUAUAAGUUGCAUAUGACAAGGUAAUUAAAUGAUUAGAUAUGACAAUUUUCAAAAUGAAAUUGAGCUGACAGAAUAAUACAACCUUUGUUUUUAGGAAUGUGGGUCGCAUCUCUUCAUUGCAAUAGGGAAUUUUUAAAACCUCAGUGUCAAACUGUAGCAUUCUCCACCUCUGUACUUGAGAAGAACUUUGUUUGCUUGUCUUCACAUUCUUUGUAUUUUCUGUAAUUUAUUUCCUGGAAUUAGACAUGUGUUCUUCUAAUUCCACUUAAAAUUUCGAAGGACAAAUAUCAAAAGUUUUAUUUUUGUCAUUUCUAUUUAUCGCUUGAUAAACAAAGUGUGUCAACAAAGUACCACUGUUUGUAGCAUGAUAACCCACAUCACCACAUGCCUUUAUUGGCAUUAUAUCAUCAAAUAUGUACGAUAGAUUUUCAUUCUGGCUUACAUUGUUCCAUAAGAUCUUAGGUACAUCUAAUUACAACAACAACUAGUUAGUAUCAGUAAUUUCAAGUAUCUUAACUUACUAGUUGAAAAUAAUUCUAGGGACUCAUCAAGAUUGAUACCUUCUUGGAGAGCAACUCAUCACCUUGCCAUUCCCAUAUCUUUCUGUUGCCAUUUCACAAACACACACAAAAAAAAAUUGAUUAACAAUUGUUAUAUUCCACCUACUACAGAAACAGAAAACUUCAUAUAAAAGAGUUUUGCUAGCUUGGAAAGAAUAUGUGUUACAUUUCAAAGAACUCACUUUUACUAUUUUACACGAGAAUUUAUAACUAAUUAUAAUCAAAUUUGAAGUUAAAAUAAAAUGUAAGAUAAGAAAGAAAGAACGAAAUAAUAUUCUUACACAAAAUAACUGACCCCAUCCUUGGUACUUUUGCAAAGCAUAUUUAACUUUAUGGCAUACUAUAAUUAGGUUGAAUGCAUGAAAUAUCAUAACAAGUAAUAUUGGUUUAAAUGUUUAAUAAAGUCUAAGAUAUUUACAAAAGAAGAUAGAAAAAAUUUCAGCAAUUGCUAAAAACAUGCUCAAAUAAUAUCUCAAAAAAUUAGUAUAUAUGAUACAAUAUAAAUUAGCAAAAUACAUAAAACUUAAAAUUUUUAAUAAAAAUAAUAAUACUUUAGUCCACAUUAAGCAAUGUUAAUAAAAAUAGCCUAUAAUACUCCCCCCUGUUCCAAAAAGAAACAAGUACUCUCACAGAGAUCUCACAGAGAGGGCAGUACAUUGUAACAAUUGAGUAUUUUCAAACUCAACUUCAAUUUCAUAUUUAUCUAGAAAAAGGUCAUUAAAUUAUUUUAAAUACACAAAUUACUAAGAUCUUAACCAUAAUUUUCCCAUGAUUACACUAAUUUUGUAGCUAGAAUAAAUAAACAUAUUACAUUUCUCUAUAAACUUGGCAUUAAAGAACAAACUAACAGAACUGGAGUUUAUGAAUCAAGCAAAAAAAUGAGCCAGACCCAUAUCACCAAAUGAAAAAUUGGCAAGCUUGAUUGCAAAGGGUUUGUGAUUCAGAUCUAAAAAUCAGAAGCUCGGCACAAAAAAUCCCACAUGUAGAGUGAAACAAAACUACAAACAUGAAGAGAAACAUGGUAUGAAAGGAAGAAAGACCCACUAGCCUUACUAGUUGAUGCCUGCCCCAUUGACGAACCUGGGUAAGCAUGCUGCAAACACUGCAACACUGGUGCAGUAGAAAUCUUAUUCUUCUGUUUCUUCAUCAUUGCUUUCUUUGCUUUUGCCCCCAUCUAAUUGACCUUAAAACCAAGCAAAUUGCACUGAAUCUACAGGCACAAAAUUGAUUAUAGUUAAAUCAAGUACUUCAUAAUCUUCACAAACAGUAAUAGAAAUCAAACAAAC
rnacentral:lncRNA from 1 species